GGUUUUUUUGCUAGGGGCAAAUCAUUUUUGGAAAGUGAUAAGACAGGUUCAACUCCUGUAAAAAACCA
rnacentral:tRNA from 1 species